ACUCAAAUGAAUUGACGGGGACCUGCACAAGCGGUGGAUCAUGCGGUUUAAUUCGAUGGUACGCGAGAAACCUCACCUAGGCUCAACUACUAGCUGCAAGCUCUAUGAAAGUAGAGUUCCUUCGAGGGUGCUAGAUAGGUGAUGCACGGUUGUCGUCAGCUCGUGCCGUGAGGUGUACCCUUAAGUGGGGUAACGAGCGCAACCCCUGUCGUGUGUUAUACUUUUCACACGAGACUGCCUUCGCAAGAAGGAGGAAGGAGGGGAUGACGUCAAAUCAGCGUGUCCCUUACGUCUAGGGCAACACGCAUGAUACAAUGGUUGGUACAGAGGGCAGCCAAGCCGCGAGGCGGAGCAAAUCCCAUAAAGCCAAUCUCAGUUCGGAUUGUAGUCUGAAACCCGACUACAUGAAGUUGGAAUCGCUAGUAAAGGCGGAUCAUCACGCCGCCUUGAAUACGUUCUCAGGUCUUGUACACACCGCCCGU
rnacentral:rRNA from 1 species